rnacentral:rRNA from 1 species
CUCUUGGGUUGUAAACCUCUUUUCUCAGGGAAGAAUUCUUGACGGUACCUGAGGAAUAAGCAUCGGCUAACUCCGUGCCAGCAGCCGCGGUAAUACGGAGGAUGCAAGCGUUAUCCGGAAUGAUUGGGCGUAAAGCGUUCGCAGGUGGUUAAUCAAGUCUGCUGUUAAAGCGUCUGGCUUAACCAGAUAAAGGCAGUGGAAACUGAUGGACUAGAGUGCGGUAGGGGCAGAGGGAAUUCCUGGUGUAGCGGUGAAAUGCGUAGAGAUCAGGAAGAACACCGGUGGCGAAAGCGCUCUGCUGGACCGCAACUGACACUGAGGGACGAAAGCUAGGGGAGCGAAUGGGAUUAGAUACCCCAGUAGUCCUAGCCGUAAACGAUGGAUACUAGGCGUUGCCCGUAUCGACCCGGGCAGUGUCGUAGCCAACGCGUUAAGUAUCCCGCCUGGGGAGUACGCACGCAAGUGUGAAACUCAAAGGAAUUGACGGGGGCCCGCACAAGCGGUGGAGUAUGUGGUUUAAUUCGAUGCAACGCGAAGAACCUUACCAGGGUUUGACAUGUCCGGAAUCUCUUGGAAACGAGAGAGUGCCUUCGGGAGCCGGAACACAGGUGGUGCAUGGCUGUCGUCAGCUCGUGUCGUGAGAUGUUGGGUUAAGUCCCGCAACGAGCGCAACCCUCGUUCUUAGUUGCCAGCACUUCGGGUGGGCACUCUAAGGAGACUGCCGGUGACAAACCGGAGGAAGGUGGGGAUGACGUCAAGUCAGCAUGCCCCUUACGCCCUGGGCUACACACGUACUACAAUGCUGUGGACAAAGGGCAGCAAGCUAGCGAUAGCAAGCAAAUCCCACAAACCACGGCUCAGUUCAGAUCGCAGGCUGCAACUCGCCUGCGUGAAGGAGGAAUCGCUAGUAAUUGCAGGUCAGCAUACUGCAGUGAAUUCGUUCCCGGGCCUUGUACACACCGCCCGUCACACCAUGGAAGCUGGUCACGCCCGAAGUCGUUACCCUAACCAUUCUUUGGAGGGGGACGCCGAAGGUAGGACUGGUGACUGGGGUGAAGUCGUAACAAGGUAGCCGUACCGGAAGGUGUGGCUGGAUCACCUCCUUUU